rnacentral:rRNA from 1 species
CCCUUAGAUGUUCUGGGCCGCACGCGCGCUACACUGAUGCAUUCAACGAGCCUAUCCUUGACUGACAGGUCCGGGUAAUCUUUGAAUCUGCGUCGUGACGGGGAUAGAUUAUUGCAAUUAUUAAUCUUCAACGAGGAAUGCCUAGUAGGCGCAAGUCAUCAGCUUGCGUUGAUUACGUCCCUGCCCUUUGUACACACCGCCCGUCGCUCCUACCGAUUGAAUGGUCCGGUGAAGCGUUUGGACUAUGGUUUUCUGAUGGUCCGCCGUUGGAUUACCGUGGGAAGUUCGUUAAACCUUAUCAUUUAGAGGAAGGAGAAGUCGUAACA